UUGACCUCAGAUCAGGU
rnacentral:rRNA from 3 species